GCUGACUAUGGCAUCUUUAUCAACUCGUCUUUCGGAAGAAUAAAAGUUUAUAUGUCCGUUGCAAGCUCUAACUAAUAAUCCCAAUGAUUCUGCUAGAGAGUUUAGAUGGGUAGCUAGUGUUGCAGCAAUAACUUUGGGGGUAUCAGCAGCUUGCCCCCUUUCCCCAGCCCCCAAUUGUGAUGAUUUUCCAUGUUCAACACCUUUUCUUUGUCGUCUUAAAGUAGCUGCAAUCUGGAACGAGAUGCUGCUGGUAAAUAACAGAUCCUCUGACCCUUCAGUGGAUAACUUUCUUUUCGCAGGUGCAACCUUUUUUACAGAGGCUUUUGGAAACUGAAAAUCAGAAGAAAGAUCCCCACUUCCAAUGCACACAUGUACUGCAUUAUCUAUCUGACUUUCCAAAUGGGGGAUCAACGGUUCAGUUUUGUACUUCUCUUCAAGGUUACCUGUCAAGGACUUCGUUGCUGCAAGGCUUUGAUUUUGACUAGAGGUAGUGAUUUCUGAAUUGCCUGAAGUGUCUGUUGCAUCCAUAAACUCAUCUGAACUUUUAUCUAACGUGCCAUCCAGAAACCUCUGCAUUCUAUUCAGUACUCGGCGUUGUUCUUUGGAAGGAACAAAAUCAUUUGCUUUGAGACGGAUGGUGUAAGAUGGACAGCAUGUCUUUUCCAU
rnacentral:misc_RNA from 1 species